ACAAUAAAAUGCACUAAAGACAUGAUGAUAUAGAGCAUUGUGUCCAGGAGCACUUCUAAUUGAUAGUGGUCAAUUACAUCAUAUACUCCCUCAGUCCGAAAAAGCUUGUCCCAACACGGAUGCAUCAAAGGCAUAUUUCUGUGUAAUCAAAAGAUGGAUGAAAGUUUUUCAUGUUGUUCACAAGUCCCUUUCCUUCACUCGUCCAGUGGUCAUUGGUGUGGGUGUUGUGGUCAAAUGGAAGCACAUAAAUUUCUUUACUUAGGCUGGAGGCUUGCAUGGAAUAUUUCUUUCUUGAAUGCGGAUCAAAUCAUCAAUAUGCCACAGACAGAAGGGAAACCAAAUAGCAACGACAAACAAUUCAGUUUGCGAUUAAGGGAAAGAAUUGCUGAAUUUCAAACCCGAAAGAAGGAAGCACUAAGUUAGUUUCUGCAAAAUAGGAAAAUUUGUAUUGUUCUAACACUAAUAGAUUACACAACAAAAUCUGUCCAAUAGAAAAUGAGGCUUGAUGCACUCAAUACGCUUUUACGGGCAAUAGCGUGGAUGGCCUUAGGACUGCACAAUCUCUAGGAAGCAUCUAUUUAUGAACAAAGGUGGUAUGAAACAGAGACAUGGUCCAUGAUUUAAUCUGUUGAUACUAAUUACAACAACAUGCACCUGGAGCAAGAGGGGGCACAAUCUCGUGUUGUUGCUCUCUAAAAUAGAGAACACUUUUACAUCGCUCAACAUGGUGGCUGAAGUAGUAAGUUCGACUGGUGGUGAGAAGGAUGACCUCGGCUCCCAGCUCACUACACACCGAAAAUUGGUAACUUAUUUCUAGGAUCAAACCAUUUGGAAGCUCUGUAUUAUACAAUAAAAAAACCGAAAACAAGUUUCACAAUGGCAACCUAAUUAACAACAUGCUCUCCUCAGUCACAUAAUCAUCUAAUGAAAAAAGAGAAAGGAUCUAGAGCACAUCACACAAGUCUACUAUGAUCAGGAGCCGACAAGAACAAGGGACAUUCAUAUUUCAUCAUCAAUACCUCCUACACUAUACACAGCCUGUAAAAAAUAUAAAACUGAAAAUGUUGUGAAACCAAAAGAAAACACACUGUAAAGAGAUGUAAAUGGGACAUGCUCGUUAAACUUUACAAUCUCUUCCAAGGAUUUUUUUAUCAAAAGAAAAUGUAAUGGGUCUCAUUGUCAAGAAACUCGUGAUUCCCAAUAACAGACCAUGAUAUUAAUUUCUGAAGUAACAUAAUACAGGCUGUACCUUCAAAUGUUGCUUGUAGUCGCUUUCUUUUAGAAUUUCCUUCAUUGACCAGCUUAUCCCUGACAAGUUGGCAAGAAAAUCAAUUUCAUAAGUGAAUCUUGUGCAAACCAGGAAGAAACAGAAUCAAGACACCAAAAGAGAAAACUGGGACAAACUGGGACAAUCAACCCCCACCUUGUACAUGACCUUAUGCUUCGCCGGUCCUGCAGAAUAACAGCAUGCAAUGAAUGAAUAGCAAGAUUGAUCUUAGCUGCACACACAAAAAUAUUUGUUGGAAGAACUUUUUAUAGGGUAGUGGAUUUUGUUGCUUAAAAUUUAAUGAGUGAACAAAAUCUAGAAACAAAAAGUACAUCACUAAGUUGCAUGUUUCUAUGGAGCAGUCGCUGCUUCCCUUUGAGCCACCAUAGCCACUGUUUACACAUGUGCAGGUUUGCAUAUGUAGACACCCUAUAAUGUAAAGGAUGGCAGUGCCAAAAUAACUAGAUACAUGCUCUUAUCUUAUACGCUUUAAAACUUGAGAACAUGAUUGCCGCGGCUUGCCGCGGCGUGUGUAUUUUUGUGGGAAAACAUGGUAAUAUGUGCAGAAGUAAAGAACAAAUACAAAUCGCGUGGAUGCUUGUUGGCAUGUAUAAAAUCAUAAGAGCAUGACGGGAGAACCAUGAUCAUGAAAUCAAAAUAGAUGGAUUGCUAGUGCAAGAAGAGAGCUCAGUUAUCACCUCAGCUCACCUGGGAAGAAACAGCAACUUCCAUUUCCAAAAGAAAGAUAUACCUGCAUCAACAAUUCCUGAUCUGUCAAGAAUCCCAACAAGGGGAAGUAAGAAAAUACCACAAAGAUGAAAAUGAACAAAAGAAUACAUACACAUGUGAAGCUGCUGAUAAUGGAAGCUGACUAUCAAUAAUGUUGUCAGGUUGCUCUUGCUUUCAUUCUACUGAUGUCCUCUAUAGUACCUCGACCACCGAGCAAGUUUGGAAAUGGCCAAUAUUUGUUUUUCUUGUGAAACAUUCUUUGAGAUCCCCACAUUCUAAUUUCCACGAAUCAUUCAGGUAAUCUCCGACUGAUAAAAUUGCAUACUAAAAUCAUGCUUUAGAUAAACUGAUUGAAACAUUGAGAGAAAUCAAAUAAUAGGUGCAGCAGUAGCAACCUAUCAUGCUUCUCCCUAUCUGUCAGCAGAUCCAACCACCACAAGGUCCAAUCAGAAGCCCCCACUCACUUGCAAUUUACAAUCCAUUUCCUACAUGAAAUUAGAGAAAUAAACUGGAAUCACCGGACCACCAACUAUAACAAUCAGUGUUAUAGAUUUUCUUCACUUAUGUGAAAUAGGAAUUUCAUGUUGUUCCUCUUGCAAAUCAGGAUAAAGCACUGCAUGCAUUUAAUAAACUUUCAUGUAC
rnacentral:lncRNA from 1 species